GGAAUAUUGCACAAUGGGCGCAAGCCUGAUGCAGCCCUGCCGCGUGUAUGAAGAAGGCCUCCGGGUUGUAAAGGACUUUCAGCGGGGAGGAAGGCGAUGCGGUUAAUAACCGCGUCGAUUGACGUUACCCGCAGAAGAAGCACCGGCUAACUCCGUGACAGCAGCCGCGGUAAUACGGAGGGUGCAAGCGUUAAUCGGAAUUACUUGGCGUAAAGCGCAUGCAGGCGGUCUGUCAAGUCGGAUGUGAGAUCCCCGGGCUCAACCUGGGAACUGCAUCCGAAACUGGCAGGCUUGAGUCUCGUAGAGGGGGGUAGAAUUCCAGGUGUAGCGGUGAAAUGCGUAGAGAUCUGGAGGAAUACCGGUGGCGAAGGCGGCCCCCUGGACGAAGACUGACGCUCAGGUGCGAAAGCGUGGGGAGCA
rnacentral:rRNA from 1 species